GACGAACGCUGGCGGCGUGCUUAACACAUGCAAGUCGAACGGAAAGGCCCUGCUUUUGUGGGGUGCUCGAGUGGCGAACGGGUGAGUAACACGUGAGUAACCUGCCCUUGACUUUGGGAUAACUUCAGGAAACUGGGGCUAAUACCGGAUAGGAGCUCCUGCUGCAUGGUGGGGGUUGGAAAGUUUCGGCGGUUGGGGAUGGACUCGCGGCUUAUCAGCUUGUUGGUGGGGUAGUGGCUUACCAAGGCUUUGACGGGUAGCCGGCCUGAGAGGGUGACCGGCCACAUUGGGACUGAGAGACGGCCCAGACUCCUACGGGAGGCAGCAGUGGGGAAUAUUGCACAAUGGGCGGAAGCCUGAUGCAGCAACGCCGCGUUCGGGAUGACGGCCUUCGGGUUGUAAACCGCUUUCGCCUGUGACGAAGCGUGAGUGACGGUAAUGGGUAAAGAAGCACCGGCUAACUACGUG
rnacentral:rRNA from 1 species